rnacentral:lncRNA from 1 species
UUUUAUAUGAUUUAAGGUAAGUUUUUUUUGAAAAAUAAGAGGAUUUGUAUGCAAAUAAUCCGAAUAAAAUUUAAUGGAACUUUCAAAAUUGAAAUUAUAAAUCAUCCACGCAAAAGAGAUUUUAAACUUAAAUGGACGCUAAUUUGAAAGCCAAAUCCUCAAAAUCUCCGCGAUUUUGAACGACUUCUUGAGGACGAGGCUUAUCUUCAGUUCUUCACUUCCCUUUGUCCUUUCGUUGAACAUUGUGUCAUUAGUGGAUACUACAGGUAAUGCUUUCUUUCCCCUUUAUUUGUUUUCUGAUUUUUCCGAAUAAUACAUAUAAUCUUCAUUAUCAGAAUUUUGUUUAUAUCGUAUGCCUAUGUCUCAUGCCUCUUCUAUAUUGAAUUUCAACAUUUUUUGUUGUGGGGGUUAUUUUGAUUUUGGUUUGAUUUUUUAUUUCAAAUUUUGCGUUCAUGAGAAAUAUCUUGAUUUUUUAUUUUUCUUCCUAAGGUUUUUACCAAUCCAUUGAUUUUUCAGUUCUGUGUGGUAGCGAUACCCAAAAAAUUCUUGCUUCGGGUUUUAAGUUUCUGCAUUGCUAGACUUCAUCAAGCUUAAUUGCGCCCUUACAAAUCUUCAUACCAAAAUGUUUUAUUGAUAGCAAACAAUGGAAAGAAGGGUUUGUUAUCAAAGCGGAAACAAUCACUCAGCAAGACUCAUUCACAGGUUGCUAGGUUCAGUGGGUAUUGAUCUCAAGACAUGUCUCUAGGAAGGUAAAAUCUGAAUCAAAAACUGUGACAUGAAAGAAACAAUCUCUUAGUUUGAUACCAAUCAUGAGGCUCAAUGUUGUCAUUUAUUUCCCUAGCACAUGUUUAGCUUCUAAAUUGCAAAAAAAAAAGUUAUUUUCUAUAACUAAUGUCUUAUAUACCCUUCAAUAAAGACAACAUAACGAGAUCUUGUGGAUCUAAAUUGUCAUGAUUGGAAUAAUCAGUUAAGGUGUAACUUCUUUUUUACUUAAUGAUGAUGGGAAAUUCAUCUGGGCAAAUAUGUAUAUCGGUGUUUAUUUUUAUUUAAGAUAGAUAUAUGGGUUUUGAAAUUAACAUGUUACUUUCAUUUUUAGCAGAAGGGUAAAUCGGUAAAUUGGAAAAAAAAAAUCUCAUUUGUCUUUUAUAAAUUUGUUGGUUAUUUUUUUUAGAUUUAUGUCACAUAUAGCAUCUUACUUAUAUGUUUUAAAACAAUUAUCAAAAUAAAUAAAAGUAGGUUGCUAAAAUUGUAUCGAUAUCAUACUUAAAUGUUUUGAUAACAUUUUUAACCCAUAAUGGCAGCCAACUACCAUUCUGAACAGGGGAAAUCUGGGAAGAGGGCAUUUUGGUCAUUUUAUUAUGAAUCAAUGUUAUUUAAUUGUUUCAUUUUUUAAUUUGUAUAAGCUACGAUGCUAUUUUACUUUUGCCAAUGCCAACUAUAAAUCUGUUCAUGGGCAAUAUAAUCAUUAAGUUAUGUAUGCUGAUAAGGGUACUUUAUCAAUAAAAAAAAGUGGUUGGAAGUCAAAGAAAGGGAACAAAUUUCUGUUAACAUAUAAUUUAUUUAUGUUAACAGAUCAUCAGCUCUUUGAAUAACAAUGUACUAUCCUUUUAUUACUAUCAAAUCAACAGAUGACUAUAACUUUAUUAUAAAAGUAAAUUUUGGUGUUGGCCAUCCCCUCCUAAGGAAAUGUCUAAUUUCUAAUUACAUUGUGGUUCACCCUCAUAUAUCAGGCACCAGGUAUUUAUUUUUAAGUAAAAAGAGGUUUGUUGUUAUUAAAGGUAAUUCAUCAACAUUAUUAUUGAAAUUG